AGGAUCAGCAUGACUGUAGUGUUCCUGGCUUAACCCUGAGAGGUUGCUGUUCCCAGUGACUAUCUAGGCUGAAGCCCAUGUAGGAUUUGAAGAGACUGAUCCAGGCUUUAUGAGUGGCUGCGACCAUGCUGUCCAAUUAGUAUGGUGUCACCAAUAUAUGGAUCCAUGCGAUUGAUUAUCUGUGGAGUGUCCGGAUGGUCCAGGACCCUUCAGAUUAUAUUACGAUGGAGAACAGGAAAAUUAACCAAAACCUGGGCAAGACUGCGAAUGUGUGCUACUAUCCAUCCCAGUUCUGGAGGCCGGAGUUGGAAAUCAGUUUCACUGGGCACACAUGGAGGUGUUUGAAGGGCUGCCCGUGCCAGAGGCUCUCAGGGAGAAUCCCUUCCUUGUCUGUUCCAGCUCUACCUCCUCCUCUGCUGUAUACAAAGACAAAGAAACAGGCAAAGAAACAUCUCUGACAUCAAGAUCAGGAAGUCACAGAGAGUACUUGAGUACACAUUCAGAAGUUUCAAGGAUUUUCUGUUCGUUUAUUAAACCUUAACAUUUGCUGUACAAGUUUUCAACAGGCCAAGGUUAAGUGAAGAAUGAAAAUAAUGUUUAACUCCAUUACAAAAGAGGAGGCUUUUGAUACAGACUUCAUAAUGUUCUUUGAGGAAGCAGGUAUAUGAGGUUUGUACAUUGAAUGGAUGUUCUAGAUUGAGCAAAAUACCCUCUAUGCACUCUCCUGCAGAGAGUGUGGGUGAAAUAGAAAUGUAUUUCUGGAUAGAAAGAGCAAUGUAUCACAUGCAUUCUGAAGAAGUCUAGCUGAGCAAAACCUUAAGAUUUCCUGUUGUUGCUGGACCGUAGACAUCAAUAUGACCGCUUAGCAUAAAGAUAAAGGUACCUCAGGGCCCAAGAAUAAAAAUUCCAUCGAGCACAACUCAGCGCUCUGAAAAUCUAGAUUUCCCUAAUCCCAGAGGGUGAGAGCCAAGGAGGAGCUCGUCCUGCCCAUUCCUGCCUUCCUCUAUCCCUGGCACUCACACCACAAGUUUGCUCUACUCUUAAACAAAAGCACCUGUGUUUUAAAAUUUUCAUUUUAAGUUCUGGGGUACAUGUGUAGGACAUGCAGGUUUGUUACAUAGGUAAACUUGUGCCAUGGUGGUUUGCUGCACCCAUCAACCCAUCACCUAGGUAUUAAACCGCACAUGCAUUAGCCAUUUGUCCUAAUGCUCUCCCUCCUGCCAACCCCCCACCCCCGACAGGUCCCAGUGUGUGUUGUUCCCCUCCCUGUGUCCAUGUGUUCUUACUGUUCAGCUCCCACUUAUGAGUGAGAACAUGCAGUGUUUGGUUUUCUGUUCCUGUGUUAGUUUGCUGAGGGUGAUGCCUUCCAGCUCCAUCCAUGUUCCUGCAAAGGACAUGAUCUCAUUCUUUUUUAUGGCUGCAUAGUAUUCCAUGGUAUAUAUGCAUCACAUUUUCUUUAUUCAUUCUAUCAUUGAUGGGCAUUUGGGUUGGUUCCAUGUCUUUGCUAUAGUGAAGAGUGCUACAAUGAACAUACACCUAUUUUUUUUUAACCCACAUUAUUUAUAGUCUUGUUUUCAGUAUUUUGGUAGGCAGUGCCUGGUCUGCUCCUCUCCUCCCUUCUCUGAGUUGCCCUUUUCCUCAAUUCUCUUUUACCAACUUUCCUUUUGCGAUCGUCUCUACUCUCCUUUUCUCUAUACUUCCCCUUCUUUUUCUCUUGGCCUCGACUUCUGAAUCCUGUGACAAUGGCGUGGGGGGUUUGGUGGAGAGAGGGGAACUAAAAGUGGAAAUGAGACACUGGGGAAUAAUCACAAGAAAGGAAACAAGACUUCCCAACUCUCCCCGGCUGUGAGCCCCACGACAUGGUUUCCACAUGAGCCUUCUCCCCACUUUUGGCUGCCUCCCUGACACGUUUCCAAGGAGACCUUUCCAAGUCAAGGCCGCAGCUCCCAAAGUAUUGAAGCACAAACCCAGCCCACUUCCAAUAAAUCAUCCUCUACAUACAGUUGUCUGGUUUGUAUCAGAAUGUCCUUGGGAUUCCUGUAAUGCUUGUCUCCAGAGUCACUUAGCCAGCAUUUUGGCUAGUUUUUGUUUUUGUUUUUUUUUUUCUGAUACUCUGGUUGCAUAAAGUUAAACAGGGUUUGCAAAAUGUAAUUUCAUUAUAUGAACAACAAGUUCUAUACACUGAUGAAUAACUUGGUUUUAUGUGGGCACUUAAUUCCCAGUCUAGUGCUAAGUCUUUAUCUUAAUUUUAACUUUUAAGGCAAACAAUGCAAGGCAUCAUCUUUUGAGUGGGAAAGAGGAAAAGCAUUUUAAUGAAUGAGUUCUUGGUUGGGCGCAGUGGCUCACUCCUGUAAUCCCAGCACUUUUGGAGACUGAGGCAGGAGGAUCGCUUGAGCUCGGGAGUUCAAGACCAGCCUGGGAAACAUGGUGAAACCCCGCCUCUACACAAAAAUUAAAAAAUUAGCCGGGGAGGGGGAUUGAUUGUGUGCAUUUGCAGCUGAGCUGCAGUGAGUCCCAGCUACUCGGGAGGCUGAGGGGGGAAGAUUGUUUGAGCCUAGGAGGGUGAGGCUGCAGUGACUUAUGAUCCUGCCACUGCACUCCAGCCUGGGCAAUAGAGUGAGACUCUCCAAAAAAAGAAAAAUAGAAUGAAUAAUGAAUGAGUUCUUGAAAGGAGAGAUGUAGCUGGGCACAGUGGCUCACAUGCUUGUAAUCCCAGCACUUUGGGAGGAUAAAGCAUGUGCAUCACCUGAGGUCAGGCAUGGUGGCGGGUGCCUGUAAUCCCAGCUACUUGGGAGGCUGAGGCAGGAGAAUUGCUUGAACCCAGGAGGCUGAGGUUGCAGUGAGCCGAGAUCACACCACUGCACUCCGGCCUGGGUUACAAGAGUGAAACUCUGCCAAAAAGAAAGAAAGAAAGAGAGAGACAGAGACAGAGAGAGAGAGAAAAGAAGGAAGGAAGGAAGGAAGGAAGGAAGGAAGGAAGGUAGGAAGGAAGGGAGAGAGAGAGAGAAAGAAAGAAAGGAGAGAUGUGAAAAAUAUGUUUAAGAAUUUCUCAUACAUUCAUGUCUGAAAGGAAUCAUUUUAUUCAUCCCUCUUUCAUGGAUGAAGACAUUGAGGCCCAGGUGUGGUAAAAUUUGCCCGAAGUAGCCCGUGAGUCCGUGAGAUGUCCUGCUCCCAUCUGGAGAGGAGGAGACACGCACAGCCGUCUCCACCACAAGCCGGAUUCCAGACACUGAUCCUGCCACCACCACCCCAGUCUUCUGUCUGUCCCUCUCAGCAUGGCAGUCAUGUACCCUGGCACAAUUUCUGUGAAAAUCCCCUAAACCAAGCUUGUCUAACCUGUGACCCACAGGCCGCAUGCAGCCCAGGAUGGCUUUGAAUGCAGCUGAACACACAUUUGUAAACUUUCCUAAAACAUGAAUUUUUUCGCAUUUA
rnacentral:lncRNA from 1 species